AGUCUUUACCGACUUUUCAUCGAAGACAAAUUCGCUAAUAUCACGACAAUUAUAACCGCAACAAGAUGCAAUCCGCAGUUCCGAUAUUGUCUCUUCUCGUGAUAUUUGUGGUGAUUAACGGCAUAUAUACAUAUGAACUAACGAGAAGUGUAAGAUGUAUAAUAAUCAUCCGAUAUGCCACUGUAAAGACGGAUACAAAACAGACUUAUAUUCACAGUGUGUGAAAUCCGGAAGUAAAUAUUAAAUAUAAGUUAUACAUUAUUAUUUUUUGUUGCUAAUUAUACUAAAUUUACUUGAAGACGAUUGCAAUGGUAUUACUUGCGGAACUAAUGAAAAAUGUAAAAUGUAUAAUGAUGGAACGACCUGCUUGUGUAAAGAUGGUUAUAAAAGAAACUCAGAUACGAUAUGUGUGAAGGACAAAAGAGAUGAUUGCGAUAACGUUACUUGCGGAACUAACGAGAAGUGUAAGAUGUAUAAUGUAAGAUGUAUAAUAAUCCGAUAUGCCACUGUAAAGACGAAUACAAAAUAGACUCAUCUUUGCAAGCGUGUGUGAAAUCCGGAAACGGUUGCGAUAACAUUACUUGUGGAACUAACGAAGAAUAUACAAUACGUAAUCAUCAGCCAAUAUGUUGGUGUAAAGAUGGAUACGCGAAAAAUUCAGACACGGGAGAAUGUGAGUCAAAAGAUUAUUGAAAGGCAUGAUAUAGGUAUCUAGAAGAGUUCUGUCGACUAUAAUAAACCAUUUGCGACGACGGCUUUUGUUAUACGGAGCACGAAAACGGUUCAUCCGUGUGUCUUUAACAGUUUAAAAUAUUGCAAGUCGAAAUGCACGAGCAGAAUAAUGCACCCCGUUACGAAGACUAGUAUUAGAGAUUCUGGUGCUGGUUUGUCGAUUCCAUGCCACAUUUACGAAGCAGCUUAUGUUACCAGUUCACGUAAUUUCAGAGGACGGCCCUCGCCGCUCUAUAUGUGACAGAGUGCGUGACGUUAAAUUAUAAAAAGAUCGUUAGGAGAAGAAGACUUCUUUAUUAUGAAAAAGAAUUAUGAUUAAUAAACAACGCAAAAAUAAAAAAUAUUUAAUCGAAGAAACAUAUAUAUCGACUUCUCCUCAUCUUCUUUCAAGGAUCCCA